UACAGAGGGGGCAAGCGUUGUUCGGAAUUACUGGGCGUAAAGCGCACGUAGGCGGCUUUCUAAGUCAGGGGUGAAAUCCUGGAGCUCAACUCCAGAACUGCCUUUGAUACUGAAGAUCUUGAGUUCGGGAGAGGUGAGUGGAACUGCGAGUGUAGAGGUGAAAUUCGUAGAUAUUCGCAAGAACACCAGUGGCGAAGGCGGCUCACUGGCCCGAUACUGACGCUGAGGCACGAAAGCGUGGGGAGCAAACAGG
rnacentral:rRNA from 1 species